UCCCCAUCCCCGGCACCUCCCGAUCCACCUCCUCCCGGCCUCUCCCAGCCACCGCCGACCUCGUCGUCCUACUCACCCACCGACGCCGACCCACCCUAACCUAGCGCUGCACUCCUCCCUUGCCACCGCCACCACCGGCUCCCGAUCCUGGUGACCUCAGGCGGGAAUCCUAUCGUCCUCCUCUCACACCCACCGCUGUCGAUUCUUCCCCAGCCACUGCCCUGUACCAUACCUCUCCCUCUCUCCUAUGGCGCCGGAUCCAGCCUACGAGGUCAGUCACGGCCAGAUCCUCCACGACCACACCGGGCCUUCCGGAUCCCCAUCCCCAACCCCAUCGACGCCCGUCUCUCCCCCAAUCCAGCCGCCACCGCCGCCAAAAUCCACGAGGACCGCCCCUACGUGGAGCUCUGGAUGGGCACGCACCCGGCCGCGCCGUCCGUCGUGCCCCCCGGUGGCGAGCCACUCGGUGUCUGGCUUGCGCGCAACCCCACGGUCGCCGUGCUGGGCCGGCGACCUCCCGUUCCUCUUCAAGGUGUUGUCAGUGGCCAAGCCGCUGUCGAUCCAGGCGCACCCAGACAAGGGCCUGGCGGAGCUGCUGAACGCCAUGCGCUCGUCCACGUACCGGGACGCCAAUCACAAGCCGGAGAUGGCAAUCGCCAUCACCGACUUCCGCACGCUCUUUGGCUUCGCCAGCAUCGAGGUGCGUCCCAACUGCCACUGCGUGCGCAUUGUUGUUGCGUCCCCUGUCGCCACCCGUAGAUAGAGUCCAGUUCGGUUGCACCUCUGCAUAUACGUAUUUGUUAUCUAGAGUAUAGAUAUGCGCCAAGCCAAACAUCUGCGCUUGGACUGUCAGACUAUUUUAGGCUCAACUGAAACUGAAACUCGGUAGGAAUCAUUACGUAGCCAUGGUGUAUUGUUUAUGAAUUGGAUGGCUCAGAGCCAUUUUCUGUCAGAGCCAUUUUCUGUCAGAAUCUUGUGCCGAUAGCUUUGCGUUAACUAGUAAGUUCAGGUUGGGGAAAGCCAGGAUGGGUUUGAAAAAACCAAUUAGUAUGCUUGAUCAUGAGUCGAUGACUUGCAAAUAAAAUUUGGGGCUGUGGUUACAAAAUAUGUACUCAAGGCAGUAUACAGUUGCAAUGUUAACCUUGCAGCACUAGGGGCACAAGUGGCAUCAUCAUAUGGCUGGUAAAAACAACUACAUCUCAUAAUGUGAAACAUUUUUCACUUUUAUCUUAUUGGUGGAUGAGAUGAAUCUAAUGAGUAACUUAGUAAGCUCCAUUGAAGCUUUGAGACAUCGCGUGUUUAAUGCUUUCAAACUGCAUACUUGAGUGCCUUGUCUUUUUUCCCGCAAAAAAACAAAACAAAAAGAGCGCCUUGUCUUUGUUCUCCUUAUCUUGGAGACUGUUUUGAAAACAUCUUUGUGCAUAGCUUCGUUUGGAAUGUAAAAUAUUUCCAUUUUGUUCUUUUUGAUGGCCGUUAAUUCGACAAUUAAACACUUGUAGUUUGAUGCUUGGCUUUCUUAGUAAAGAAGCAUGCAACCUUCUUGCUUCUGAAGCAUCAAGUCAUGUGGGCAUAAUUUCAUUUGUAGAUGCAUUAAUUCAUUCAUGUUUCUUCAGAAACUGAACCAGUAGUGCGAUACGAUUCACAGGUGCUACUAGUAACCGUAGGAUCAGUAUCGAUUUGUUUUCUUCUUCAGUUACUCUGUGUUUUCUGAGACCCUCAAGAUGAUUUUUCAGUUACAACUGAAUGAUGAGUAAUGCGCACUGUACUAGUAUGAAGCAGUGAUGUGAGAAUAAUGGAUUUGCUCCGUAGUUUUCUACUACUAUUUUUCUUUUGGCGUGGUUCCUUUUUUCUCAUUUCUGAGAUGAACUUUGCAAGGGCUACAAUGUUUAUCACAGAUAUAAGGACCAAUCGAAGUUGAGCGGCGAUUGAUCCCUUUGCUUACCCCAGGAAUUGACGAAGCAUGGGCUUGUGCUCUGAAAGACUGUUUGGUUAUUGCCAUGUGUGACAGUAGUACAAGAUGAUAGUAGUAGUGUCCAACAGUGCUGCCAAGAGUUAAUAAUAUUCUCAAGAAAGAAUAUAUGCAUGUUCCAGACCAUGCAUCUCAACAUCUUAUAAACCACCAAUCAUACACAUAUCCAAAAUGGCAGUACUCUAUCUCUAUUGUAUCAGAUCUGGCAGAGCCCCAACAUUCAGUUGCAAUGAAAAAGUUGCUAAUUCUCACACGUCGUUAUAUGCUGGAAACAACCGUAUAUCAUUAGGAUUUGCACACGUCGUUGUCGUGUUAGCUUUGCGUGUUAUAUGCUGUGUUUGAGUGCUCAAUCAGGGGCUUAUGUUGCUCUGAUGUUUCUGUGUGGCUGGCAAGUAUUGUUGGAUUCUACAAGGACUUUGUGGAAGCCCUCUGUGAGCUAGUUCAUGGAGACUCGACAGUCCGAGCGAUCUCUGUAGCGUGAAUGGAGUGCUAGUCCAGAUAACUGUAGGCAUCCUCUGUGGACGAUGACGACAACCAGGGCAUCCACCGCCACGACGACGCUCCGCACAUGGUCCAACUCGGCUACAACCUCCUCUAUCGCGGGACGAAGACCGUGGCCAUGUGCGUCAUCGGCUACAAUCUCCCCUCAUGUGAGGAAGAACCAGCUGCCGACGUGCGAGGGCAUGGGGUACCUGGAGGCCAAGCACCACCUUCUACUGAGCUACUGCCAGGGCCUCGUCUACUACCUUCUACGCGAGGCCAAGGGUCAGUCAGUCGAUGGCCACCCUGUCGCGCUCAGCCUUGUCGAGAUCAGGAUGUUUCUUGAUAAGGUGUGCGCGUGUGCCCUCAGUUGUUGUUGAUUGCUAAGCUGCCAGUCUCCAUUUAUGCAGCUGUCUAACAAGUCUUAUGUUGAAUUCUCUUACUAGCCUUAAUUUGUUUGUCGUCGUGUCUGUUUGUGUGCAUGUUCGAGCGGCUAUUGCUGGUGUGCUGAAAGUUGCUUAGAGCUGGAGGAGUGGAUGCAUGCGGAGUUGGAGAGGACGAAAACCUCUUGAGAGUCCAAGAGGUCCAGAUUUGGAAGCUGGGAAUCUAGGGAAUGCGAAGUUGAUGAGACCUCGAGUAUCUAGACUGUGAUUGCCAUUGUAUAUGUGUUAUAUGAUGUAACACAAUGAUUCUGCUAUUGUAUCUUUGUUGUAUGAUGUAUCAAACUGAUUCUGGCUGUUAUGUGAAGUACUGUGUGUGUUCUAUUUGUUCC